CAAAGUUGAUCGUGUUUAUGACGUCGAAUAUCGACGUCAUAAACACCAAAGUUGUUCGUGUUUAUGACGUCGAAUAUCGACGUCAUAAACAUCAAAG